AAGACGUCUGAGACACCUGAACAGUACAUCUUUAGACUGUGAGAGGAAACUUUAGUGUCAGGAACAAACCGGCACAAACACAGGGUUGCAACACAGAAGUUGGGCCAGAUUCAAACCUGCGACCACAGACCAGUGAUGUGCACCACUGCCUUCCCAGCACACCUACCAAUAAUUCCAUGGAGCACAUUUUUUCCCUUGCCUGUGUCAUAAAUUAGGCAGAGGUCUUCUGAUAAAGACAUCACGCUCAGACGAGUGAAGCAGUGGCUUAGAAGAGGAGGAUUUAUAUUUGGAUAAUGAUGGAUCCUUGACAACAGUGAUGGAUAGCGCUGUGCGUUUGACUGGCUUGCCGGUCUGCUGUGCCGGGGCAUCUGUCACACAUCCAGCCCAGUGGAGGAGAGGAGAAAUGGCCUGAAGCUGGCUUCCUGGGUGGCUGGCUGGAUGGAUGGACAGAUGGACGGACGGAUGGAUGGAUGGACAGAUAUGUCGAUGUGAUCUUGUUUUUCAUUGUUUUACAUGUUGAGCACUAUACCCUUGUUAAGCUUUUCUGAGCAGGCAUGGUAGAAAAUAGAAAUUAAUUGAAUUUAAUUAAAUCAAACGUUCCAGAAUAAAUCCUUUGCACAUAUAUAUUUGAAGGAAGAAUUGAAAACUGCUGCUCAGAAGUGAUUCUUCAGAGAGGCAGAGCAAAUCCGCUAUGAAGAAUGAGGAGGAAAAGACUGCAAUAUCCUAGUGCAAAAACCUUUCCAUCUUUCAAGACAGCGGAGUGUUUGGAAAAACAGUUUGUGAGGUGCUCUACUUUAAUCAUUUCUUGGUCUGGCUGGCCUUUGAAUGAGCAGGCUACUGCAGCUCAGUGGGGCAGCACAGUCUGACAUUACGCCUAUAUGUACCCCAGCUCGCUCAUUCCACAUGAUUACAAAGAUGCUAUCAGAAUGUAAAGUUUGAAUGUGACCCACUUAUGAGUGUAAGCGAGCCCUUCUACACACAUUCAUGUCUGAGAGCUGGGAGAGUCAGCCGCCCUGAUUCACGUUUCGAUCCGCCGUGGAGGAAUUGGGAUGCGGCGCGACACUGACACGUCCCUGUGUCGGCCUGCUUAGAGCCAAAUCCCAGCGCAAAUGAGCAGCGUCGCAAGGACGGCGCCCCCUGGAAGCCGAAUGCCGCAGCCAACCGGUGAAAGUCCCACAAAGUCGACGCCGACGAAAGAGGCGGCCUUGGCCCCGUUUUCCCACAACGCGGCCCUCGUUAUUACGAAGGCGUGAUGGCAUGGUGACGACUUACUGUUCAUUAUGCCUCAGCUCAACGUUAAGAUGCAGUCCUGCGGAAAGUCUGCGUGAGUGUAAACGGUUGCCCCCAGGGUAGCGUGAGAGGAGAGAUAGGGGUGUUUUUGUAUCUGUCUUACAGCAGGCUUGUCAGCUGGACACAUAUCAGCAGCAGGAAUGAUCCCCGACAAUGUUUACUCAAGUAGAAAUAGCUCUUCAUCCUGUGUGACACACUGCAGAUCCCUGCCGACUCAUCUGUACAUUAAAAGUUAAUAUUGUCCCUAUGCCCAACAAAUUACAUUCAUAAUUUAUUAAGGUAAAUAUUCAGCAGGGUCGUGGUCUCUACACUCCUUUUUCUGUCUUUCUGUACUGUCAGCGUGUUAGACAGCCAAUGCGCACGGCCCCGAUCGAGCUCUUGUUAGUGCCGUGAUUCUAACAACACAAUGAGACUCCAUUUCAAGGGGAUUAAUUGUUGCUUAGAAUUCGGCGCAGAUACACAAAAUGAGAUCGAGUGCUCCGAGUGAAGGGAGUAUCUUUCGCAGGUUGCAUUAAAUCCCUUUGAGAAGGCUGUGCCUGCACUGACUUUAAUUGAAUUUGAAAAACAGAUAAAGGGCAUAGCCUGAUAAAGAAGGAUAAAAUUUAUUGUCCUUGCAACGAACGUUGGACCUAGAGACACGUUUACAAUUCUGGGGUGAUUCUCAAAAAAAUAAGCAUCACUGGUACCUCAAAAUAUAUAGCUUUCCUACGUGUUCAUUUUACUGUCACUGUCUAUUGAGUUCCGAUCAACUGAGAACCUAACUGGGAAAGCCAGGGUUGGACUGAGACAUGGCAAGACGUCAUCGUCCCGGUGAAGAGGCAGCAAUUACCGUACAUCUUCACUGCAGCUGAUGUGGAGGCCACAUGUGACCUCACUGCUUAGCAACUGUACAGUGACUGACUGCAGUGCUGCCUCAGAAUCCCAUUCAUUUCAACAGGCUUAGAUAUUAAUUCAUGAAGUGCCAUUUGUAUAUUAGCUCAAAGGAAGGCCAAUUCUCUCACUUUGUAUCAUGUUUUUUUUAUUUUUUAUUUUUUUACAAUUGAAGAAGAAGAUAUAAGAGUCUAUUGAAACAAAUGGGAAGACAUAAGUGGAACUAUGAACUGAUUGUUAAGGAGAUCCUGGAAUCGUUUGUGCUUCGUCGCGAUAAGGGUUUGGCUAUUGAAAUGAAAGAAGGCGUUUUAUGUACAAGUGCUAGCUUGUGUCAAAGCCCGUUAAGACAAUGUUUCUUUUUGACAUGGGGAAUUAAUUCGUUUGUUUAUGCUAUACAUAUGAAAGUCAAGUGUGGCACUGGACUACAUUUGGUGCACGUUUUUUUAACAAUAAUAUAAUACACAUAACCUACGCUCAAAAUAAGCUGAUAGGACUGCCUAAGGCUGAAAGAAUUAGGUGUUACAACGCAAGACUUCCUUUAAAAAAUCUUAUGUUGACAUAACAUAUCCAACGGCAAAUGCAGACGACUCUUUGCAAAUUGCAGCAGUGAUUUAUGUUUGCUAUGUGAUGUGGAAACUGUGUUGAUAUGACAUGUUUUUUUUUUUGUCCCACAUUAUAUUCAAGGAUAAAACAACACAUAUGUGCUGCAGUGCCUGCAAUGUGAUUCAGCGAAGAUAUUUACCUAGAAGAUAUUUUGUAAAUACAUUGUUUGCCAUGGAAUUUUUAAGAUGAUUCACCUGAAAAAUACGAAACGUAGAUUAACCCAUCAAAAAUAUAUACACAGCUAUUUCAGUAUAUAUUUCUGGUUUCAUACGUCUUUGUAUUGUGCAUAUUUCUGUCCCGUGUGUUUUUCUGUAUUUUUCCUGUAUGCUGUACUACAUACGUGCUAGCUG